rnacentral:rRNA from 1 species
UACGAAGGGGGCUAGCGUUGCUCGGAAUCACUGGGCGUAAAGCGCACGUAGGCGGCUUUCUAAGUCGGGGGUGAAAUCCUGGAGCUCAACUCCAGAACUGCCUUCGAUACUGGAGAGCUCGAGUCCGGGAGAGGUGAGUGGAACUGCGAGUGUAGAGGUGAAAUUCGUAGAUAUUCGGAAGAACACCAGUGGCGAGGGCGGCUCACUGGUCCGGUACUGACGCUGGUGUGCGAAAGCGUGGGGAGCAAACAGG